CUUGGCCAGCACCUCUUCCCUCCCAGCGGGUGCCCCGUACAGCAGGAGGCUUAGUCUAUGGUCAGCUACCACUUGGGGGGACUUCAGCUUUACUGGAUGAGAUACAUCUUUAAAAUUCCUAAAAAGACCUGUGGAAAACAAAAAUCUUAGGCCCCCAAAAUCACUAAGCUAAAGGGAAAAUUCAAGCUGGAAAAUGCUCAGGACAAACCUGCCUCCCACUCUAUUCAAAGUCAUCGCCCUGCUCACUAAGUGCAUAUCUGAUUGCCUCCUUUGGAAAGGCUCAUCAGAAACUCAAAAGAAUGUCAGAAGCCCCCUCCCCACUUUGAGUGGUCCUGCCUUUCUGGACCUAACCAAUGUUUAUUUUACAUGUAUUGAUUGGUGUCUCAUGUCUCCCUAAAACGUACCAAGCUGUGCUCAGGCCACCUCGGGCACAUGUUGUUAGAUCUCCUGAGGCUGUGUUAAUGAGCGCACAUCCUCAACCUUGGCAAAGUAAACUUUCAAGAUUAACUGAGACCCGUCUCAAAUUUUCGGGGUUCACAGAGCUCUGGAGCCAAAUAUUUCUGUUUUGAUUUUUACAGUAAAAAAAAUCGAAAGGUGCUAACAAUAUGGCAUGACUAGUCAUUUUUCAUUGUGUUUUGAAAACAAAACCACCCAUGGGCCUUCGGCUGUCCAGACAGACGCACCCUGUAUACGCGUGGAGCAGUGAGGGGCCUCUGGUCUUCAUAGCAUUUGUUCUCUACUGGUCAGGUCCCAGGGGAGCAUUACAGCCUCUGCUGGCAGCCACUGAAAACCAGAAAGCAAGCAGAAAAGGAUAUCGAGGUGAUGAGAGGCCGUGGGACUAACAGCUGAAGGUGUUUCAGGCAUCAGAGAGGCAGCCACACAGGAGGGGGAUCAGCAGGGCUCAGUGUGACCCAGAGAGAUGAGAACUGAGCCCUGAGAGCCCCUGGAAGGAGGCCUGCACUGCCAAGAGUCUGCUGCAUGAACCCAGGAAGGGAGGAACCCACACACCAGGGCACACAGGCAGCUGCCAGGUCAGGGAGGCGGCUUGUGGCUUCCUCUCAGGAACUCUUCUGUCCUCAUCAGGGUAAUAAAGAAAGGUCCCCUCACAAGGCGUGAGUCCCCAGCAACAGGCAAAGAAGAACCCUCUGGGCACCAGGAUUCUGCAACCAGCCCACUCAACCUCGGCCCACCCAGCAAAGCCCUCAGAACCUGCACACCCCUGACUCUCACAACCCCUGGGGCCUCUGGGGGUCCUGCCACAGGGAACCAACCAGCCACACCUGGAGCACAGGGUCUCCAAGAACAAGGGCUUCACAAUGGCCAUGGUGACUUGUAUGCCACAGUCAUCCCAGAUUGGACAGGGCAUGACCGUAAGCAGUACAGCAUGAUCCAAAAUAGGCCCUGGUGUUCCUAAUGCCAGAUAGUCUCUCCUGUUGGUCACAAUUCCUAAUCUCUGAAAGUGCCUCUAAGAUUGACGAGUGAUACCAACAAGUUAUUCAUCUGACGCAGCUCUAAAAACUCAAGCAGCCAUGGAUGGUAAACAGUAGCUUCCCUCAUACAAGAAAGGGGCUGCACCUUGCUUUUUUGCAGCAGCUUCCCAUCUAUAGUUCAGAAAAGAGGUCUUUGAAAAAACAAUGGCUCUGCAUGUGUCUGGCUGUCCACCUGUCGGCUGUGUUGGGGCAAGGGAGUAGACAAGGUGGUUCACCAGCUGGAGGAAAGGUGACAGGACAGAGGCCUAGGUUUGCAGUCACUCCUCUCCCGCUCUAGCAUGGCACCAGGGUCUUUCUGGAAUGUCUGCUGGCUUGCUGCUAUCAGUUGCAAGCCUUACACAGAGGGAGCAGCCCUGAACUCACCGAGGCAACUGUUCUGCAUUAGAGGGAAGAACUAGGAAGAGCCUAAAUAGACAAGUUCCAACAAGGACCAGACAGUACAAGAGAAUCAUCCUACAAAAGUCCACAGAGCAAAGAUGCAAGCCUGCUAUUAGAGAACUGAGACCUUCAGGUCUUAACUUCCUCUGAAAGCCAAUGAUGACAGGAGCAACUUCGUGCAAAC
rnacentral:lncRNA from 1 species